rnacentral:rRNA from 1 species
UACGAAGGGGCUAGCGUUGCUCGGAAUCACUGGCGUAAAGCGCACGUAGGCGGAUUGCUAAGUCAGGGGUGAAAUCCUGGAGCUCAACUCCAGAACUGCCUUUGAUACUGGCAACCUUGAGUCCGGGAGAGGUGAGUGGAACUGCGAGUGUAGAGGUGAAAUUCGUAGAGAUUGGGUGGAACACCAGUGGCGAAGGCGCCUGCCUGGCUGAUUACUGACGCUGAGACGUCGAAAGCAUGGGGAGCAAACAGG